rnacentral:misc_RNA from 1 species
AGACUAACUAGAGUUAGGAACAAACAACAAACUAAUUCACAACACUCAGGAAAGAAGGGUAUUAUGUCUAAGGAUGUUAACCAGGGGAUAACUCAGUUAUCGAUGCCUCAUUAUGUGAUGAACUAAUAGAUUUACUUUUGGCUAAUUCUCUAGGUCCUGAUGAUCUUGAAUUGUAUUCUUGAGUAAGUGAGAUCCCUGAAGUAAUAUCGUUGUGUGUAUAGUAUGCAGGCCCUGAAGGCAGGGGAAGAUUCAAGGAUAGGCUACUGAGCAUGAGAACUACUGCAGCCAUAGUUGGUCUAUCGCCAAUAUUUUCUUGAACGCACAAUAAGGCAAUGUGGACGUAUCUCUUGAUGUCACGGACCAGUCCUGAACUUCCCCUAAACAUGGGGUCAAUCAAAUUUGCAGCUGUUCCUUCUUGCCAAUUCGUCCAUGCAUAGCUUAAAAGGUCUUCCACAGAUUCUCCAUUUCUGAAACAAGUGUUCUUAUGUCCACUUAAAAUUUCUAGGACUAGUACUCCAAAGCUAAAAACAUCGGACUUGACUGAAAAUUGUCCAUGCAUUGCAUACUCUGGUGCCAU